ensembl:lncRNA
GGAUGGAGGAAGGGAGAGGAGAGGAGAAAGGGAGAGGGGACAAAAGACAAGAGAAGUGCAGUGGAAAGAGAAGCGAAUGGAUAGAUAGAAAGGGGGUGUGGAGAGGAGACAUAAGAGAAUGAUAGAUAGAGGGGGUGUGGAGAGGAGACAUAAGAGAAUGAUAGAUAGAGGGGGGGGGGUGUGGAGAGGAGACAGAAGAGAAUGAUAGAUAGAGAGGGGGUGUGGAGAGGAGACAUAAGAGAAUGAUAGAUAGAGAGGGGGUGUGGAGAGGAGACAUAAGAUAAUGAUAGAUAGAGAGGGGGUGUGGAGAGGAGACAUAAGAGAAUGAUAGAUAGAGGGGGGGUGUGGAGAGGAGACAGAAGAAGAGGGGAGGACAAGGGGACAUUGGGUAUUACGUGGAGAACCGAGGUGAUGGAUGGAGAGAAGAUGAGGUGGCAGGUGAAAAGAAGAUAAGCAGGGGAGGACAGAGGAUCAGGUCAUCAUUUUAAUGAUUUAAUCCCCCAAUGGUUUAGGGUCCCAGUUUCAGACAAAGCGGCCAU